AUUAAACGCUGGCGGCAUGCCUUACACAUGCAAGUCGAACGGCAGCACGGGGGCAACCCUGGUGGCGAGUGGCGGACGGGUGAGUAAAGCAUCGGAACGUAUCCUGGAGUGGGGGAUAACGUAGCGAAAGUUACGCUAAUACCGCAUAUUCUGUGAGCAGGAAAGCAGGGGAUCGCAAGACCUUGCGCUCUGGGAGCGGCCGAUGUCGGAUUAGCUAGUUGGUGGGGUAAAGGCCUACCAAGGCGACGAUCCGUAGCGGGUCUGAGAGGAUGAUCCGCCACACUGGGACUGAGACACGGCCCAGACUCCUACGGGAGGCAGCAGUGGGGAAUUUUGGACAAUGGGCGGAAGCCUGAUCCAGCCAUGCCGCGUGAGUGAGAAGGCCUCGGGUUUCGUAAAGGUACGUCUUUUCCGGUCGGGGGUAACGG
rnacentral:rRNA from 1 species